rnacentral:rRNA from 1 species
UACGUAGGGUGCAAGCGUUAAUCGGAAUUACUGGGCGUAAAGCGUGCGCAGGCGGUUUUGUAAGUCUGUCGUGAAAUCCCCGGGCUCAACCUGGGAAUUGCGAUGGAGACUGCAAGGCUGGAGUCUGGCAGAGGGGGGGUAGAAUUCCACGUGUAGCAGUGAAAUGCGUAGAGAUCGGGAGGAACAUCAGUGGCGAAGGCGGCCAUCUGGGACAACACUGACGCUGAAGCACGAAAGCGUGGGGAGCAAACAGG